rnacentral:rRNA from 1 species
AUUGAACGCUGGCGGCAGGCCUAACACAUGCAAGUCGAACGAGUGGCGGACGGGUGAGUAAUGUCUGGGAAACUGCCUGAUGGAGGGGGAUAACUACUGGAAACGGUAGCUAAUACCGCAUACCAUCGGAUGUGCCCAGAUGGGUUUAGCUAGUAGGUGGGGUAACGGCUCACCUAGGCGACGAUCCCUAGCUGGUCUGAGAGGAUGACCAGCCACAAUGGAACUGAGACACGGUCCAGAAUACUACGGGGGGCAGCAGUGGGGAAGAUUGCACAAUGGGCGAAAGCCUGAUGCAGCCAUGCCGAGUGUAUGAAGAAGGCCUUCGGGUUGUAAAGUACUUUCAGCGGGGAGGCGUUACCCGCAGAAGAAGCACCGGCUAACUCCGUGCCAGCCGCCGCGGUAAUAC